rnacentral:rRNA from 1 species
GACGAACGCUGGCGGCGUGCUUAACACAUGCAAGUCGAACGGAAAGGCCCUGCUUUUGUGGGGUGCUCGAGUGGCGAACGGGUGAGUAACACGUGAGUAACCUGCCCUUGACUUUGGGAUAACUUCAGGAAACUGGGGCUAAUACCGGAUAGGAGCUCCUGCUGCAUGGUGGGGGUUGGAAAGUUUCGGCGGUUGGGGAUGGACUCGCGGCUUAUCAGCUUGUUGGUGGGGUAGUGGCUUACCAAGGGUUUGACGGGUAGCCGGCCUGAGAGGGUGACCGGGCACAAUGGGACUGAGAUACGGCCCAGACUCCAACGGGAGGCAGCAGGCGAGAAUAUUGCACAAUGGGCGGAAGCCUGAUGCAGCAACGCCGCGUGCGGGAUGACGGCCUUCGGGUUGUAAACCGCUUUCGCCUGUGACGAAGCGUGAGUGACGGUAAUGGGUAAAGAAGCACCGGCUAACUACGUG